rnacentral:rRNA from 1 species
AAACCGUUGAAAGGGAAGCGAAUGGAGUUAGCAAUUCGCCCUGCCAGAUUCAGUUGUUCGUGCUUCGCGACGUGCGCGCUCUCGAUCCGCAUGGACGAGACGUGUACGGAUGCGWUGCGCGGGCGGCGCACUUCUGGCGAGCGAGCGUCAGCGUCGGUUGUCGACGGGCGACAAAGACACGAGGAAGGUGAACCGGCCUUACGGCCGGUUGUUAAGCCUCGUGUUCGCAUAGCCCGACGGCGACCGUGGCUCUGCGACGCGUGCCUGGCUGGUGACUCGUACAAUCGGUCCGGCAUGUCGACCGUGGCGGACGGCACGCCUGUGCGCUCGAACUGCUGCCGGYCGAUCVAAUGAUGUUCACACACUACGCGUCGAGGAUGCUGACGGCCAUACGGCUCCAUCCVMCCCGUCUUGAAACACGGACCAAGGAGUCUAACAUGUGCGCGAGUCUCCGGGUGAUCGAAACCCGUGGGCACAAUGAAAGUAAAGAUCGUCCUAGACGAUUGAGGUGAGAAGCGAAUACCUCGGUAUUCGCGGCAUCAUCGACCGACCUAUUCUGCUCUCAGAAAGGUUUGAGUAAGAGCGUAU